rnacentral:tRNA from 1 species
GGGCCUGUAGCUCAAUGGUUAGAGCUGGCCGCUCAUAACGGUCUGAUUGGGGGUUCAAGUCCCUCCAGGCCCACCA